ACUCAAGACAAACCAGCAAUCUACAGCACCGUGCCACUGAACGGUAUGGUGUGAAGAGGAGGGUGAAGAAAUUGGCAACAUUAAACGUUGUUAUUUACAUUUAUUUUACACAAUCUGUAAUCCAAACAAAAGGGCCACCUCACCACCAACAUGGAUUGAAUGUCACAUGCUGCAGAGAUUAGACCCCCGAAAUGUCCCGGAGGUGUAAAUGGUCUCUAUCUGUGUUCCUCCUGGACCGAGUUUUGCA